rnacentral:rRNA from 1 species
AGGGUUCGAUUCUGGCUCAGGAUGAACGCUGGCGGCGUGCUUAACACAUGCAAGUCGAACGGGAUCCCGGGGGUUCGCUUCCGGGUGAGAGUGGCGAACGGGUGAGUAAUGCGUGACCGACCUGCCCCAUACACCGGAAUAGCUCCUGGAAACGGGUGGUAAUGCCGGAUGCUCCGGUUGGAUGCAUGUCCUUCCGGGAAAGGUUCCAUCGGUAUGGGAUGGGGUCGCGUCCUAUCAGCUUGAUGGCGGGGUAACGGCCCACCAUGGCUUCGACGGGUAGCCGGCCUGAGAGGGCGACCGGCCACAUUGGGACUGAGAUACGGCCCAGACUCCUACGGGAGGCAGCAGUGGGGAAUAUUGCACAAUGGGCGGAAGCCUGAUGCAGCAACGCCGCGUGCGGGAUGACGGCCUUCGGGUUGUAAACCGCUUUCACCCAUGACGAAGCGCAAGUGACGGUAGUGGGGGAAGAAGCACCGGCCAACUACGUGCCAGCAGCCGCGGUGAUACGUAGGGUGCGAGCGUUGUCCGGAAUUAUUGGGCGUAAAGAGCUUGUAGGCGGUUGACCGCGUCGAUAGUGAAAUCCCGGGGCUUAACUUCGGGCUUGCUGUCGAUACGGGUUGACUUGAGGAAGGUAGGGGAGAAUGGAACUCCCGGUGGAGCGGUGGAAUGCGCAGAUAUCGGGAAGAACACCAGUGGCGAAGGCGGUUCUCUGGACCUUUCCUGACGCUGAGAAGCGAAAGCGUGGGGAGCAAACAGGCUUAGAUACCCUGGUAGUCCACGCUGUAAACGGUGGGUACUAGGUGUGGGUCGCAUUCCACGUGAUCCGUGCCGUAGCCAACGCAUUAAGUACCCCGCCUGGGGAGUACGGCCGCAAGGCUAAAACUCAAAGGAAUUGACGGGGCCCCGCACAAGCGGCGGAGCAUGCGGAUUAAUUCGAUGCAACGCGAAGAACCUUACCAAGGCUUGACAUACGCUGGGACGGUGCAGAGAUGUGCUGGCUUUUGCUGGUGUACAGGUGGUGCAUGGUUGUCGUCAGCUCGUGUCGUGAGAUGUUGGGUUAAGUCCCGCAACGAGCGCAACCC